AAUAAAUAAUCAUGAAUUCUAAACUAUUGAAUUUUGCUGAACUAAUGUUUAUUUUCAAUAGGUUGUUUUGUUACUAUAUCCUCUAUCUAAAAAAAAAUCUAUAAUAUUAUUAUUAUUAGAUAGGAACAGGUACUUACGUGGGAUAGGCAUUUGUCAGGUGAUUGGAAUGCAGGUAAAUAAUGAAAGUCUUACAAAACAUUUCAAUAAGGAUAAAAUGAAACACUAACAUGAUUUUUUUUAGAUUUACAUUUAAGAGAUAUACUGUUUCUCAACAAUAACACCGAACCAUGGGGUGAAGUAAUACAAAAAUGUAAACAUACGUUUAAAGUUCGAAAAGAAAGUGAACACAAGAGCGUUCAUGAGUUUCUACAAGACUGGAAAAUAUUAUCAGACCAAAGAAGUGACAUAUUGAUAAACAUUGACUUCGACUUGUUGUAUCCAGAAAAAGGGCUGAAUUUUUAUUUAAAUUGGAAAAUAUUUUUCGAAAAAAUUAUUGCUUUUAAACCGAACAGAGACGAAAGAAUCUUGAACCUUAUUGAGUCACUGAAAAAUUUAGACAAUGAUUUAACACUUCCUGCUGAGCUUAAAAUACUCGCACAUCUGGUGCCUCCAAAGGGAAGAAUUUCAAAAAAAAUUAAGUUCACUACUCAGCAAUUGACUCCUUAUAUAUUUGUGUGCCGGUAUGUUUUUUUUUAAUAGCCCCGCCCUAGGGAAACCCUGUGUC